UGGGGAAUAUUGCACAAUGGAGGGAACUCUGAUGCAGCGACGCCGCGUGAACGAAGAAGGCUUUCGAGUCGUAAAGUUCGUUUAUAUGGGAAGAUAAUGACGGUACCAUAAGAAAAAGCCCCGGCUAACUACGUGCCAGCAGCCGCUGUAAUACGUAGGGGGCUAGCGUUGUCCGGAAUCACUGGGCGUAAAGGGUUCGCAGGCGGAAAUGCAAGUCAGGUGUAAAAGGCAGUAGCUUAACUACUGUAAGCAUUUGAAACUGCAUAUCUUGAGAAGAGUAGAGGUAAGUGGAAUUUUUAGUGUAGCGGUGAAAUGCGUAGAUAUUAAAAAGAAUACCGGUGGCGAAGGCGACUUACUGGGCUCAUUCUGACGCUGAGGAACGAAAGCGUGGGUAGCAAACAGG
rnacentral:rRNA from 1 species